rnacentral:rRNA from 1 species
UGGGGAAUAUUGGACAAUGGGCGAAAGCCUGAUCCAGCCAUGCCGCGUGUGUGAAGAAGGUCUUCGGAUUGUAAAGCACUUUAAGUUGGGAGAAAGGGCAGUAAGCGAAUACCUUGCUGUUUUGACGUUACCGACAGAAUAAGCACCGGCUAACUCUGUGCCAGCAGCCGCGGUAAUACAGAGGGUGCAAGCGUUAAUCGGAAUUACUGGGCGUAAAGCGCGCGUAGGUGGUUCGUUAAGUUGAAUGUGAAAGCCCCGGGCUCAACCUGGGAACUGCAUCCAAAACUGGCGAGCUAGAGUAGGGCAGAGGGUGGUGGAAUUUCCUGUGUAGCGGUGAAAUGCGUAGAUAUAGGAAGGAACACCAGUGGCGAAGGCGACCACCUGGGCUCAUACUGACACUGAGGUGCGAAAGCGUGGGGAGCAAACAGG